UUGCUCUAGUAGCCUAUGUACUAAAACUAGACCAUACAGAGCAAGUUAAUAUGGCCCCUGCACAAGGAUGAUGUGAAACUUUUAGACAUGUUCACAUUUUUC